AACGAACGCUGGCGGCAAGCUUAACACAUGCAAGUCGAACGGACCGUAUACGCAGCUUGCUGCGUGUAUGGUUAGUGGCAGACGGGUGAGUAAUGCAUAGGAAUCUACCUAGUAGUAUGGGAUAGCCACUAGAAAUGGUGGGUAAUACUGCAUAAUCCCUGCGGGGGAAAGAUUUAUCGCUAUUAGAUGAGCCUAUGUCAGAUUAGCUAGUUGGUGGGGUAAUGGCCUACCAAGGCGGUGAUCUGUAGCUGGUCUGAGAGGAUGAUCAGCCACACUGGAACUGAGACACGGUCCAGACUCCUACGGGAGGCAGCAGUGGGGAAUAUUGGACAAUGGGCGCAAGCCUGAUCCAGCUAUGCCGCGUGAGUGAGGAAGGCCUUAGGGUUGUAAAACUCUUUCAGUAGGGAAGAUAAUGACGGUACCUACAGAAGAAGUCC
rnacentral:rRNA from 1 species